rnacentral:rRNA from 1 species
GCCACACUGGGACUGAGACACGGCCCAGACUCCUACGGGAGGCAGCAGUGGGGAAUAUUGCACAAUGGGCGCAAGCCUGAUGCAGCGACGCCGCGUGAGGGAUGACGGCCUUCGGGUUGUAAACCUCUUUCAGUAGGGAAGAAGCGAAAGUGACGGUACCUGCAGAAGAAGCGCCGGCUAACUACGUGCCAGCAGCCGCGGUAAUACGUAGGGCGCAAGCCUUAUCCGGAAUUA